rnacentral:rRNA from 1 species
GGACAGAAGGGAGCUUGCUCCCGGAUGUUAGCGGCGNCCNNUANNAGUAACACGUGGGUAACCUGCCUGUAAGACUGGGAUAACUCCGGGAAACCGGAGCUAAUACCGGAUAGUUCCUUGAACCGCAUGGUUCAAGGAUGAAAGACGGUUUCGGCUGUCACUUACAGAUGGACCCGCGGCGCAUUAGCUAGUUGGUGGGGUAAUGGCUCACCAAGGCGACGAUGCGUAGCCGACCUGAGAGGGUGAUCGGCCACACUGGGACUGAGACACGGCCCAGACUCCUACGGGAGGCAGCAGUAGGGAAUCUUCCGCAAUGGACGAAAGUCUGACGGAGCANCGCCGCGUGAGUGAUGAAGGUUUUCGGAUCGUAAAGCUCUGUUGUUAGGGAAGAACAAGUGCGAGAGUAACUGCUCGCACCUUGACGGUACCUAACCAGAAAGCCACGGNUAACUACGUGCCAGCAGCCGCGGUAAUACGUAGGUGGCAAGCGUUGUCCGGAAUUAUUGGGCGUAAAGGGCUCGCAGGCGGUUUCUUAAGUCUGAUGUGAAAGCCCCCGGCUCAACCGGGGAGGGUCAUUGGAAACUGGGAAACUUGAGUGCAGAAGAGGAGAGUGGAAUUCCACGUGUAGCGGUGAAAUGCGUAGAGAUGUGGAGGAACACCAGUGGCGAAGGCGACUCUCUGGUCUGUAACUGACGCUGAGGAGCGAAAGC